GCCCUCUUAGCUCAGUGGAUUAGAGCGUUCGCCUCCGGAGCGAAAGGUCGCAGGUUCGAACCCUGUAGAGGGCACCA
rnacentral:tRNA from 1 species